rnacentral:tRNA from 2 species
GGGCAUCUAGUUCAUCGGUUAGAACGCUUUCCUGAUAAGAAAGAGGUGCAUGGUUCGAUUCCAUGGAUGCCCACAA